GCGGCCGUGUCGGCGCUCCCGCUCCUCGCCAUUGGCCUCUGCUAUUUGUCUUUUGCACGUCACACGGUGCAGGGCUGUAGCAACGACUGUGAUGUUUCUUGGAUGGACAAAACCAGGUCCUUCGAAAUGUAUCAGCCAGGCACCAAGGACACCAAUCCCAGCUGAGAUCCAUGUGGGUGUCUCUCACUUGGCCAAGCCAGCCCAAGCCCUCCCCCAGGUUUAGUGGGUUCCGGAGUCUCAGUUUUGG
rnacentral:lncRNA from 1 species